rnacentral:rRNA from 1 species
UACGUAGGGGGCAAGCGUUGUCCGGAUUUAUUGGGCGUAAAGAGCGUGUAGGCGGCCUGGAAGGUCAGCUGUGAAAACUCGAGGCUCAACCUCGAGACGUCGGUUGAAACCACCUGGCUAGAGUCCGGAAGAGGAGAAUGGAAUUCCCGGUGUAGCGGUGAAAUGCGCAGAUAUCGGGAAGAACACCAAUGGCGAAGGCAGCUCGCUGGGACGGUACUGACGCUGAGACGCGAAAGCGUGGGGAGCAAACAGG